CUACGGGUCGCUGCAGUGGGGAAUCUUAGACAAUGGGGGAAACCCUGAUCUAGCCAUGCCGCGUGAGUGACGAAGGCCUUAGGGUCGUAAAGCUCUUUCGCUGGGGAAGAUAAUGACUGUACCCAGUAAAGAAACCCCGGCUAACUCCGUGCCAGGCAGCCGCGGUAAUACGGAGGGGGUUAGCGUUGUUCGGAAUUACUGGGCGUAAAGCGCGCGUAGGCGGACUGGAAAGUUGGGGGUGAAAGCCCGGGGCUCAACCCCGGAACGGCCUCCAAAACUAUCAGUCUAGAGUUCGAGAGAGGUGAGUGGAAUUCCGAGUGUAGAGGUGAAAUUCGUAGAUAUUCGGAGGAACACCAGUGGCGAAGGCGGCUCACUGGCUCGAUACUGACGCUGAGGUGCGAAAGCGUGGGGAGCAAACAGGAUUAGAUACCCCAGUAGUC
rnacentral:rRNA from 1 species